rnacentral:misc_RNA from 1 species
GAUGAAGAACGCAGCGAAAUGCGAUAAGUAAUGUGAAUUGCAGAAUCCAGUGAAUCAUCGAAUCUUUGAACGCACAUUGCGCCCGCCAGCAUUCUGGCGGGCAUGCCUGUUCGAGCGUCAUUUCAACCCUCGACCUCCCCUUGGGGAGGUCGGCGUUGGGGACCGGCAGCACACCGCCGGCCCUGAAAUGGAGUGGCGGCCCGUCCGCGGCGACCUCUGCGUAGUAAUACAGCUCGCACCGGAACCCCGACGCGGCCACGCCGUAAAACACCCAACUUCUGAACGUUGACCUCGAAUCAGGUAGGACUACCCGCUGAACUUAAGCAUAUCAAUAAGCGAGGA